CACGUAGGGUGCGAGCGUUGUCCGGAAUUAUUGGGCGUAAAGAGCUCGUAGGCGGUGUGUCGCGUCGGCCGUGAAAACCUGCAGCUUAACUGUGGGCUUGCGGUCGAUACGGGCAUCACUGGAGUUCGGCAGGGGAGACUGGAAUUCCUGGUGUAGCGGUGAAAUGCGCAGAUAUCAGGAGGAACACCGGUGGCGAAGGCGGGUCUCUGGGCCGAUACUGACGCUGAGGAGCGAAAGCGUGGGGAGCGAAC
rnacentral:rRNA from 1 species